rnacentral:lncRNA from 1 species
UAAAAUUUUGUAAAUACAAGGAGGGUGGCAAAUGCACUGGGGCUUGCCUUGGUGAGGAGGAGAGUCGGGUUCUUCUACUAGGAUAUUAUAGUUAGCAGCAAAUCCAAAUGGGGCACCUUCCGGAGCACCUUCGGUGACAACCUCAGUUGGAGAAGGUUCAGAUGAAGGAACAAGCUCCCCUUCUACUUCCACUUCAAAUUCUUCUUCAAGGUGCUCUACAAGUCAAUUCAAAGUAUAUGAAUGCUCAUGUAAUGAGAUGCUAUGCAAACUCUCAUUUAAAGAGAGGUGGAAGGCUUACAUACUCUGAGUUAAGCAUAUGACAUUUAUACUCAUGUUUCUGGGUAGUAUAAUCUUCAUCUAAGGGAUCAUAUUAAACUUACUUUAGAAAAAUCAUAGAAUUAUUCAAGUUCUAGUUAGUCAAUUUACUGUUUAACACUAGGUAUGAUUCAAGUUUGUUUUAACCCUAAAUUAGUACCUAGGUUAAGGUUUUAAAUACAUAUACCUAGCUAGUUUGUGGUUCUCUAGGUAAAUCAACACUAAACAGGCUAAGAUUUUUAACAGGAGCUAUUUUAAAGGUAUAUAAUUUUCCCACUAAUUUUCAUGGUUUUUGGACCUACGGUUUUAUUUCUAAAAUUAUUUUAAUCCUCUUAAAGGUACUUUUAAAUAAAUAAAAAAUCUACUAGUUGCUACAAAAAUCCUAUAGCUAAUUUUUUUACAGGAACUACAGGUUUUCAUGGACUCUCAAAAAUUUGUUUCACUAUGUUAUCAUUUUUCUACAUUUUCUAGUGUAAGCUAUUUGUUGUCGGGUAAAAGAAAAAGAUAAAUGACUUAACAGUGAUGGCUGAAACUUAUGGGCUCGGCCCCUGCACACAGGGAAAACAGCAGCACACAGGCCGCCAACGAUCGUAUAUGGAGUUUAUACUAACAUCCCCUCGUAAGAUCAGUUAACAGCGCAAAAGUCUGGUGCCCUAGUUUCUUGUUUCACUGACAUCUACGCUGAGACCCUCCUCUAUUCCUUCAUUUGUGAGUCCCGGUCCUCUACCCACCUCCGGUGGUAACCCAGGUCGAGCACCUGGCCAUGGCACAAGCGUUCGCCACAGGUGACCUACUGUAUUGGAAAUAAACAUUCCCGCACCAACUUUGGCCUUAGUUGACUAAUCCCCUCAACCGGAUUGAUCUGUGCUGACCCUGAACCCCAUCUACAUCCGACGACAGGAGGAGCGCAACCUUGGUUAAGCUACGCCCAAGGUCAUUUGGCAGUAGCGUUUAAUCCGAUGCCGCAGCUAGCAUCAACAAUACAUCUAACAUGUGAUUCUUACACUGAUUGACUUGGGGAACACUGGCCUCGCUGGUCGACGCGGACAUGCUAGACAACAGCAUUCACCAAAGAUUCUAUACCGUUCUAAGCACUGCACCACGAGAAACUUUAAACGGCCCGGCCAGAGAGCUUUACGAGUACUUAAUGGCUAUAGAACACAAAUAGCGCAAAAGAAAUUUACCCUUGAAGCAGCUAACCACGAUGAAAGGAUGAAAAGGCUCGGCGUGGUCACCACGUCCAAGGCAACCAAUGAUAUAGGACUGGGAAACCCCUGUGAUGUUUAGUAGAGAGUUGGAAUGGUCAUAGAACAUCAGUUAUUGAGUUUCAAAUGACCAGAAUCGAAGUAAUGGGAGAGAGGCAGGAAUGGUUUCAGACCCAAUACUCC